rnacentral:rRNA from 1 species
GUGCCAGCCGCCGCGGCUAUACGUAUGGUGCAAGCGUUAUUCGGAUUUAUUGGGCGUAAAGGGUCCGUAGGUGGUUUGUUAAGUCAGGUGUGAAAUCCCGGAGCUCAACUCCGGAACUGCACUUGAAACUGAUGAACUAGAGUAUUGGAGAGGUAAGUGGAAUUUCAGGUGUAGCGGUGGAAUGCGUAGAUAUCUGAAGGAACACCAAAAGCGGAGGCAGCUUACUGGACAAUCACUGACACUGAGGGACGAAGGCGUGGGUAGCGAAAAGGAUUAGAUACCCUUGUAGUCCACGCAGUAAACGUUGUGUACUAGUUGUGGGGGGAAUUAGCCCCCUCCGUGACUGAGCUAACGCAUUAAGUACACCGCCUGGGGACUACGGCCGCAAGGCUAAAACUCAAAGGAAUUGACGGGGACCCGCACAAGCGGUGGAGCAUGUGGCUUAAUUCGAGGCAACGCGAAGAACCUUACCUGGUCUUGACAUAUUUACGAUCGCUGUAGAAAUACAGUUUCCUUCGGGCGUUUAUACAGGUGCUGCAUGGCUGUCGUCAGCUCGUGCUGUGAAGUGUUCGGUUAAGUCCGCAACGAGCGGCAACCCACGUACUAUUUGCCAUCAGGUAAUGCUGGGAACUAUAGUGAGAAUGCCCGUGUUAAACGGAAGGAAGCGUGGACGAACGUCAAGUCAGUAUGGCCCUUAUGAACAGGCUUGCACACGUGCUACAAUGGUCGGUCAAAGGAUGCAUACCC